ensembl:lncRNA
UUUUAACUCUGAGUCUCUUUUCUGACGUCUCUGUGGCGCUAACAGGAGCUAAUUCACCUUCAGAUGAGCAGCUAAUCAUAACUAGCUCCACGGGCUCAGGUUUGUGGUUGGAGCUCCAGAGGAUGAGGCUCCAUCGUUUCCUGAGGUCUGGUCCACAAACACUGAGCUGAAGGAGCUGGAAUAGCGUGUUAGCAGAGCUCAGUUAAAAAGCUCAGCGUCUCAUCAGCUGUUUGCUUGAACUGAUCCCACGGAGCCGCAGAGCUGCUCUGAUUGGACGACGGCUCUCCGUGGAGGGGGCGUUCCCCGCCAAACCCUCACUGAUUGGCCAGAAUACAUUCAGGAGGGCGGGGUUUUGGCGCCGGCGAGAAUCAAAGAUAGUGAAACUAACAGAGCUCUCACACUGACUGCAUUAUUAUAUGACAGCUUUAAGUGAAACCUAUUCCUGACAUCCAGCUCUGCAGUGUUUUCUGUCCUUACAGUUUAC